rnacentral:rRNA from 1 species
UACGGGGGGGGCAAGCGUUGUUCGGAAUUACUGGGCGUAAAGGGUUCGUAGGUGGCCCGCUAAGUCACACGUGAAAUCCCUCAGCUUAACUGGGGAACUGCGUGUGAGACUGGCAGGCUUGAGUGCAGGAGAGGAACGCGGAAUUCCAGGUGUAGCGGUGGAAUGCGUAGAGAUCCGGAGGAAGACCGGUGGCGAAGGCGGUCUGCUGGGCAGUUUCUGGACACUUGAGGCGCGACAGCGUGGGGAGCAAACAGGG